UUGGAGGGCAAGUCUGGUGCCAGCAGCCGCGGUAAUUCCAGCUCCAAUAGCGUAUAUUAAAGUUGUUGCAGUCAAAAAGCUCGUAGUUGAAUUUCGGGGUUCUACCGUUGGUCGGGCUUUGUCUGUACUGGUGUGUAGAAUUUCUACCUUCUGGGGAACCAUCAUGCUAUUAAUUUAGCGUGGUGGGAAACCAGGACCUUUACCUUGAAAAAAUUAGUGUGUUCAAAGCAGGCUUAUGUCUGAAUACAUUAGCGUGGAAUAAUAGAAUAGGACGGUGGUCCUGUUUUGUUGGUUUCUGAAUCACCGUAAUGAUUAAUAGGGAUAGUUGGGGGCAUUAGUAUUCAAUUGUCAGAGGUGAAAUUCUUGGAUUUAUUGAAGACUAACUUCUGCGAAAGCAUUUGCCAAGGAUGUUUUCAUUAAUCAAGAACGAAAGUUAGGGGAUCGAAGACGAUCAGAUACCGUCGUAGUCUUAACCAUAAACUAUGCCGACUAGGGAUCGGACGAUGUUAAUUUUUCUUGACUCGUUCGGCGCCUUACGGGAAAC
rnacentral:rRNA from 1 species